rnacentral:rRNA from 1 species
GUCGAACGAUGACUCUCUAGCUUGCUAGAGAUGAUUAGUGGCGGACGGGUGAGUAACAUUUAGGAAUCUACCUAGUAGUGGGGGAUAGCUCGGGGAAACUCGAAUUAAUACCGCAUACGACCUACGGGUGAAAGGGGGCGCAAGCUCUUGCUAUUAGAUGAGCCUAAAUCAGAUUAGCUAGUUGGUGGGGUAAAGGCCUACCAAGGCGACGAUCUGUAACUGGUCUGAGAGGAUGAUCAGUCACACCGGAACUGAGACACGGUCCGGACUCCUACGGGAGGCAGCAGUGGGGAAUAUUGGACAAUGGGGGCAACCCUGAUCCAGCCAUGCCGCGUGUGUGAAGAAGGCCUUUUGGUUGUAAAGCACUUUAAGCAGGGAGGAGAGGCUAAUGGUUAAUACCCAUUAGAUUAGACGUUACCUGCAGAAUAAGCACCGGCUAACUCUGUGCCAGCAGCCGCGGUAAUACAGAGGGUGCGAGCGUUAAUCGGAAUUACUGGGCGUAAAGCGAGUGUAGGUGGCUCAUUAAGUCACAUGUGAAAUCCCCGGGCUUAACCUGGGAACUGCAUGUGAUACUGGUGGUGCUAGAAUAUGUGAGAGGGAAGUAGAAUUCCAGGUGUAGCGGUGAAAUGCGUAGAGAUCUGGAGGAAUACCGAUGGCGAAGGCAGCUUCCUGGCAUAAUAUUGACACUGAGAUUCGAAAGCGUGGGUAGCAAA